UGGUGGCCCCAUAGGUGGUGGCCAUAUAAAGGCUGAUCCCACAGCAGUUGACCCCUAUAGAGGUUGAUCCCGUAAAGAGUGACCCCGUAGGUGGUUGUUGGCGGCCCCAUAGGUGGUGGCCACAUAAAGGCUGAUCCCACAGAGGUUGACCCCGUAAAGGCUGAUCCCACAGAGGUUGACCCCUAUAGAGGUUGAUCCCGUAAAGAGUGACUCCAUAGGUGGUUGUUGGCGGCCCCAUAGGUGGCGGCCCCAUAGGUGAUGGCCACAUAAAGGCUGAUCCCACAGAGGUUGACCCCUAUAGAGGUUGAUCCCGUAAAGAGUGACCCUGUAGGUGGUUGUUGGCGGCCCCAUAGGUGAUGGCCACAUAAAGGCUGAUCCCACAGAGGUUGACCCCGUAAAGGCUGA